CAGCCGCCACGGUAAUACGGAGGGAGCUAGCGUUGUUCGGAAUUACUGGGCGUAAAGCGCGCGUAGGCGGUUACUCAAGUCAGAGGUGAAAGCCCGGGGCUCAACCCCGGAACUGCCUUUGAAACUAGGUGACUAGAAUCUUGGAGAGGUCAGUGGAAUUCCGAGUGUAGAGGUGAAAUUCGUAGAUAUUCGGAAGAACACCAGUGGCGAAGGCGACUGACUGGACAAGUAUUGACGCUGAGGUGCGAAAGCGUGGGGAGCAAACAGGAUUAGAUACCCCCGUAGUCCCUGUCUCUUAUAC
rnacentral:rRNA from 1 species